UAGAUGACUCGAGUGUUACAAACAAUAGUUUUUAAAGAAUAAUGUGAAAUAAGUUAAUUUUUAUUUGGUAAAAAAAGUAAUCAACGUCAUAACUUAAUAACAUUAAGUAGUCCUACCAGACACUAACUUAGAUGAUCCUGGAGCAAAGGCUGUAAUUUGACCUGAACCCAAAUUGGUCUCUAUUUUAAAUAUUGUCUUGAACCAAUAAGUUAAGAGGACUAACCUUUCUGGACGACAUUGCCAUCGACAUCACUGCAGAUGAGAGAGAAAGAGAGACCAGAGUUGUGGACCCUGGAGGCAAUUACCAUACUGCCGUGAUAAUGUUACUUGGUCUAACCAUAACUUAAGUGAGAACUGAAGCCUACCAGUAAAAUGGGGGCGUUGUAAUUAAUAUCCUCCGACAUUGGAGAAUACAGGGGAGAGGUGCCAGAGGAAGAGGAGAUCGAGGAUGGGGCGAAGUAAAGACUAAGAUUGAAGAGAACUAACUAAUGGCCUGAUCACAGGGUGGAUGGCGAUGGAGGCAUGGAGGUUGGGGGAGAGGAGGCUGAAGAAGUGGAGACAAAUCAGUUUGGAUCCAUUAUGUUGAUUAGUUUAACAUUUAUUUUGAACAUCAGUAUUUACAUUUUUUUCUCAUUUAGAUUAUUAAAUUAAGAUAAUUUUAUUGUUUUUAUGAAGAUUUUUUCUUACAUUUUUAAUAUUUGUUUGUACUUCUGCCUGGUAAAAAAAAUACUGUUUAUUAUGUUUGUUAAAAUGAUUACUUUCACUAACUUACCUUGUCUUGGGUAACAAGAGAUAUCUUGAUAUUUAACUAGCAGGGUGCCUGUUCUAUGGGCGGGGAUUGUAUAAGUCAGUAGAAACCUUCUUAUAUUUCGAUACUUGGUAAAUUAAUCAUUUCCAACUUUAUAUAGUAUAGAUCGCUAUUCCUGUAUUGAUGUACUGAAAUGAAUAAAAUUAUAUGAAAUGAAA